GAUGAACGCUGGCGGCGUGCCUAAUACAUGCAAGUCGAGCGAACAGACGAGGAGCUUGCUCCUCUGACGUUAGCGGCGGACGGGUGAGUAACACGUGGAUAACCUACCUAUAAGACUGGUAUCACUUCGGGAAACCGGAGCUAAUCCCGGAUAAUAUAUUGAACCGCAGUGUUCAAUAGUGAAAGACGGUUUUGCUGUCACUUAUAGAUGCAUCCGGGCGGCUUUAGCUAGUUGUUAAGGUAACGGGUUACCAAGGCAACGAGGCGUAGCCGAACUGAGAGGGUGAUCGGCCACCCUGGAGCUGAGACACGGACCAGACUACUAAGAGAGGCAGCAGUCGGGAAUCUUCCGCAGUGGGCGAAAGCCUGACGGAGCAACGCCGAGUGAGUGAUGAAGGUCUUGGGAGCGUAAUACUCGGUUAUUAGGGAAGAACAGCUGUGUAAGUAACUGUGCCCGGCUUGACGGUAACUAAUCAGAAAGCAACGGCUAACUACGUG
rnacentral:rRNA from 1 species